GAUGAACGCUGGCGGCGUGCCUAAUACAUGCAAGUCGAGCGAACAGACGAGGAGCUUGCUCCUCUGACGUUAGCGGCGGACGGGUGAGUAACACGUGGAUAACCUACCUAUAAGACUGGGAUAACUUCGGGAAACCGGAGCUAAUACCGGAUAAUAUAUUGAACCGCAUGGUUCAAUAGUGAAAGACGGUUUUGCUGUCACUUAUAGAUGGAUCCGCGCCGCAUUAGCUAGUUGGUAAGGUAACGGCUUACCAAGGCAACGAUGCGUAGCCGACCUGAGAGGGGGACCGGCCACACUGGAACGGAGCCCGGGUCCAGACCCCUACGGGAGGCAGGAGGAGGGAAUCUUCCGCAAGGGGCGAAAGCCUGACGGAGCAACGCCGCGUGGGUGAUGAAGGUUUUCGGGUUGUAAAACUCUGUUAUUAGGGAAGAAAAAAUGUGUAAGUAACUAUGCACGUCUUGACGGUACCUAAUCAGAAAGCCACGGCUAACUACGU
rnacentral:rRNA from 1 species